UUAUCACACCUGAAUUUUAUUUGUUUGUUUACAGCAAUUUUUCUGAAGAUUUUCCACAAGUAGCAAAGUCAUAAUAAUGUCGCAGAAUGUAAGAGCUGGAAGACGUUAUCUAGAUUAAAGACCUUGGUUUCAGCACAUUUAUACAAAGGAACCUCACACUUCGGUGACCACUUAGAAGAACACAUCUACCCAGUCAGGCAUGUUUUCCUUCACAGUCUGCCCUUGAAAGUCACAAACUGGAGCUGCUAACUGGACGUGAUUUCUCCAUUCCAUCCUUACCCUUAACCCUACGGGAGUCCCUCAUCUUUCAGGGUCUGAAGAAGCAAACUGCCCCACUGGAGAAACUUACAUGGAACCCCAUGCUGGCAGAUUCUAAGAGGUGAAGAUGACUUCCCACAAGACACGAAAGCCUCAGGCCCACAGCUGCAAAGAAGUGAAUUCUGCUAAUGACCCGAGGGAACAUGGAAGAAAAUGACCCCCUGUAAGCCUCUAGUGAGACUGCUGCCCCAGUCAACACAUGGAU